rnacentral:rRNA from 1 species
AUUGAACGCUGGCGGCAGGCCUAACACAUGCAAGUCGAGCGGAGCGGCGGACGGGUGAGUAAUGCCUAGGAAUCUGCCUGGUUGUGGGGGAUAACGUCCGGAAAAGGGCGCUAAUACCGCAUACUAUCAGAUGAGCCUAGGUCGGAUUAGCUAGAUUGUGGGGUAAAGGCCUACAAAGGCGAGGAUCCGUAGCUGUGCUGAGAGGAUGAUCAGUCACACUGGAACUGGGACACGGUCCAGACUCCUACGGGAGUCAGCAGUGGGAAAUAUUGGACAAUGGGCGAAAGCCUGAUCCACCCAUGCGGCGUGUUUGAAGAGGGUCUUCGGAUUGUAAAGCACUUUAAGUUGGGAGGCGUUACCAACAGAAUAAGCACCGGCUAACUUCGUGCCAGCAGCCGCGGUAAUUC